GAUUUGGCAGCAAUUUUUUUUUUCUGAACCCCAAAAUAACUAAAAUAAAAUAAAAAGAAAAAGGACGAAACUUUCUAUCAAUGGAGUUUGACGAUGAAUUGAGGAGCAGGAAAAGGAGGAAGAGAUCGUUUCAAGAAAAGCAAAACGAGACAGAUGAUUCAGAUUUGAACUAUGAAGUGGAAGGCUGCUCAUCAUCCCAAAAUGAAGACUCAUCAUCCCAAAAUGAAGAAUCAUGGAAACCUGUAGUAUUUCAACCUGUAUAUUGUACAGAUUUAGAAUCAAUAUGUGCAAGUUACAUCAAGUGUGGCAGAAGCACAAAAAACAAUCAUAACACUGAGAAAUUGCGAAAGCAUCUUGUGCAUCAGCGUUGGAGGAUUGAAUUUAAACGAGACACAAUUCAAAGGUACCGUUAUCUGUCACCUGAUGGAAAUAACUGCUACUAUUCCCUUAAUAAGGUCUGCUAUGAUUUGAUGGACGGAAAGCAGAGAAAUGAAAGCUGCAAGGGAGGCUACUCCAAGCACAAAAAUACUAACAAAAAUCAUGCAGAAUUUUCUAAUAUGGACAUUGGGCUACUGGCACCUGAUGGAGAUGACUCUUUCCAAAAUAAGUGCACUGAAGACUCCAUAGAUACCACAAAACUGACAGAUUCAGAAGGUUUAUCUUGUUUUCAUUCUUUGUUGUUCUCUACUUCUGCAGGCAUUAAUGGACGAUUAUCUUCUAGUGGUAGCUCUUCUCCUUCAGGGAAACAAACUAUGUUUUCAGACAAUGUCUCUCGUAAGGUGGGCCUAACAGAAGGGAAUCCAAAAGAAGCAAUACAAAAAUAUGUCGAUGUCAUAGAAAAUGGAAAACGAAAGAAAGAUAAAGCAUCGAUAGAAAAUGCAAAGAAGCAUCUUAAGAAAACGGGUUGGAACUUGUGGAUGAAAGACAAGAAAAUGAAGAAGGAGUUAGUUUAUACCUCGCCCAAUGGGAAAAACUAUAUUUCUCUUUAUAGAGCAUGUAAGGGAUUCUUGCAAGAUUCUCAAAAUGAAUCUUCUGAGAAGUCUACCAGAAGCACCGACUCUAAAUCUGCAAAGGUAUGCAAUAAAUUGGUCCCGCAACCAUCAGGUGAAUUUUCUAGUAACAAACAAAAAAGAAAAAUGAAGACGGGAGCUUAUACUAAGCAGCAGAGGAGAUCAAACAGCAGAUUUUCAUCAUGGUCAGUGGACGCCAGGAAAAGACCACGACUUGUAGAACCUGCCACUACUGAACGGAUUAGUAAAACAGUUUUGUCUUGGCUUAUUGACAAAGGUGUGAUAUUACCACAGCAAAAGAUAACCUACAUUCGUAAAACAGAUGGCUGUCCUAUAAAACAUGGGAGAGUAACUCAUGAUGGAUUUAAGUGCAGCUGUUGUCAUAAGGUGUUCAGUCUUGUCAACUUUGAGGCACAUGCUGGUUGCAGCACUUCCCAACCUGCUGCCAGCAUAAUCUUUCGAGGUGGAAAGUCCUUGUUAGAAUAUCAAUUGCAAGAAGCACUUGCUAAGCCUGAAUAUGUCCGACGAGUACGAUUAAAGAGGAAUUGCUCCCAGUAUGAAGGUGACUCUGAAUGCUCUGUCUGCUUUGAUGGUGGUGAGCUACUGCUCUGUGAUCACUGUCCAUCAGCUUUCCAUCCAGAUUGCGUUGGUUUAGAGGGCGUGCCUGAAGGAAAUUGGUACUGUGCAUCCUGUCGAUGUUGCAUAUGUGGCCUUAGUGAAUUCAACUGUGGUACUAAUCUGUUCACAGAUAAAUCAAUAUUGUACUGUGAUCAGUGUGAGCUAGGGUAUCAUGUGGGUUGCUUAAAUGAAAAAGAAUCAUCCCAGCUUAACAGCUGUCCAAUUGGCAGCUGGGUUUGCAGUAAAAGUUGUACUAAGAUAUUUAAUCAUUUCCAUAAGAUGCUUGGAAAAUCCAACCCUACAUCUGUAGAAGGUUUAUCGUGGACUAUUUUGAGAUCAAACAAAGAGAAUGGUGCUGAUAAUUUUGAUGAUGAAACCAUUACCGAGUACCAUAGCAAACUUCAUAUUGCGCUAGAUGUGUUGCAUGAAUGCUUUGAACCUCUUAAUGAUCCCCGUACCCAGAGCGAUGUUCUUACUGAUAUUAUUUUCAAUAGAGGGUCAGAACUACGUCGAUUGAACUUUCAGGGUAUUUACACUAUCAUUUUGGAGAAGGGAGAUGAACUUAUAUCUGUCGCCACAUUCAGGGUCUACGGUGAAAAUGUUGCAGAAAUGCCUUUUAUUGGAACUCGUUUUCAGUUUCGCCACCAGGGAAUGUGUCGCCUUCUUGUGGGUGAGCUAGAAAAGCUGCUUUCUGCAUUAGGGGUAAAAAAGUUAGUCUUGCCAGCAGUUUCCGAGCUUCUAAACACAUGGACUGGAUCCUUUGGGUUUGCUCAGAUGACAAAAUCUGAUAGAAUGGAAUUAUUGAGAUACAACCUUCUCGGUUUCCAAGAUGCUCGUAUGUGUCAGAAGUUCCUCAGCACACCUUCAACAACCACAAAGGAUCCAGAGAAGAAACUAAUAAAGGAAUUCUGAUUUGAAAUAUUGUUGAAGGGAAUAUCAUCAAGUUGAAAUGAAUAAUAAAAUAUCCAGAACAUGUGUUCACAUGGAACUUUUGCUUUUAGAAUCUUUGAGACUAUAUACAAACCUUGGUUUCUUAUGCUAACUGUUGUCAACUUGCUCAGUGCUUUUCCUGGUAUCUUCACACAUGAAGAGCAUUGGACACUGUCUAGUAUCACCUACUCUGGUAGUUUGUAGGUAG